GCCAGACUCCUACGGGAGGCAGCAGUGGGGGAUAUUGCACAAUGGGGGGAACCCUGAUGCAGCGACGCCGCGUGGGUGAAGGAGCGUUUCGGCGCGUAAAGCCCUAUCGGCAGGGAAGAAGGAGGACGGUACCUGACUAAGAAGCCCCGGCUAACUACGUGCCAGCAGCCGCGGUAAUACGUAGGGGGCAAGCGUUAUCCGGAUUUACUGGGUGUAAAGGGGGCGCAGACGGCAGCGCAAGCCAGGAGUGAAAGCCCGGGGCCCAACCCCGGGACUGCUCUUGGAACUGCGCGGCUGGAGUGCAGGAGGGGCAGGCGGAAUUCCUGGUGUAGCGGUGAAAUGCGUAGAUAUCAGGAGGAACGCCGGUGGCGAAGGCGGCCUGCUGGACUGCGACUGACGUUGAGGCCCGAAGGCGUGGGGAGCAAACAGGAUUAGAUACCCCGGUAC
rnacentral:rRNA from 1 species